AUACGGAGGAUGCGAGCGUUAUCCGGAUUUAUUGGGUUUAAAGGGUGCGCAGGCGGCGUGUCAAGUCAGCGGUCAAAAUGCGGCGCUCAACGCCGUACCGCCGUUGAAACUGGCAUGCUCGAGUUCGUGCGAGGAUGGCGGAAUGCGCGGUGUAGCGGUGAAAUGCAUAGAUAUCGCGCAGAACUCCGAUUGCGAAGGAAGCUGUCCAGCACACGACUGACGCUCAUGCACGAAAGCGUGGGUAUCGAACAGGAUUAGAUACCCUGGUAGUCCACGCGGUAAACGAUGAUAACUAGUUAUUCGGCGCGACUGAGCGCUGAGUGACCGAGCGAAAGCGUUAAGUUAUCCACCUGGGGAGUACGCCGGCAACGGUGAAACUCAAAUGAAUUGACGGGG
rnacentral:rRNA from 1 species